rnacentral:rRNA from 1 species
UACAGAGGGGGCAAGCGUUGUUCGGAAUUACUGGGCGUAAAGGGCGCGUAGGCGGCCUCUUAAGUCGAACGUGAAGUCCCCGGGCUCAACCCGGGAACUGCGUCCGAUACUGGGGGGCUUGAAUCCGGGAGAGGGAUGUGGAAUUCCAGGUGUAGCGGUGAAAUGCGUAGAUAUCUGGAGGAAUACCGGUGGCGAAGGCGGCAUCCUGGACCGGCAUUGACGCUGAGGAGCGAAAGCCAGGGGAGCAAACGGG